UCCCCUCAAACCCUGUCAUUCCCGGGAAGCUCCCAGAGGCAGCUGAGGCCACGCCCCUGCUCCUGAGUGGCAGCAUCCAGACCCGGAAAGGACCUAGUUUCAGCCUGGCACCUCCCAAGAGGAGGACUCGCAGGCUCAGAGAUGUUAAGGAACUUCCUUGGGGGUCACACAGUGAGUCAGCAGCCCAGCCAUGAUUCAAGUCCAGGUCAACCUGACCCUAAAGUCUGUGUUGAGACAUUAUGCCACGGUCCCUCCAGCGCUACUCUCAUUCUACCAAUGCUUACUGAGCCUGACUCCUUGUAAAUGACCAAGGAUACAGUGAUGAGAAAUGCACAGCCCGGCCCUGCAGAGGCUCAGAGUGCGGCGAGGACAAGACGUGAGAACCACGGCGUGCGCUGUGCCUGAGGGAGCUGUGGGGACACUGAGAAGGAGCCCCUCACCCAGAUGGGGGCUGUUCCUAUUUUAUUCCUGCCCACAAGCCACCAGGUGACCCCUGAAAAGCUUUGAGACCAUAGGACCCUGCCUGGAGUGACUUCUGUGUGUCCUCCUGGGGAAAAGGACCAGUCUCUCUCCUAUGAGGGUGGGAGCCUCCACUUUGGUGUGUGACCCCUGAGGGAGAAGUGAACGUGAAGACAUGAAGGAGGCACUGCCUGCAGCCUGAAUUUCUCGGGUGGCCUCAGGCUUAUCCCAGCAAAGAACCCCAUAAACAGGGCAGGGAUGUCGGGCUCCAGAAAUGGGCCUGCCCUGUU
rnacentral:antisense_RNA from 1 species